rnacentral:rRNA from 1 species
UGAGGAAUAUUGGGUCAAUGGGCGCAAGCCUGAACCAGCCAAGUCGCGUGAAGGAAGACGGUCCUAUGGGUUGUAAACUUCUUUAGGGUGGGAACAAAGGACGCCACGCGUGGCGAGAUGAGUGUACCACCAGAAUAAGCAUCGGCUAACUCCGUGCCAGCAGCCGCGGUAAUACGGAGGAUGCGAGCGUUAUCCGGAUUUAUUGGGUUUAAAGGGUGCGUAGGCGGUUUGUCAAGUCAGCGGUCAAACUGCGGGGCUUAACCUCGUAUUGCCGUUGAAACUGGCUGACUAGCGUGGCGUCGAGGUGUGCGGAAUGCGUUGUGUAGCGGUGAAAUGCAUAGAUAUGACGCAGCACUCCGAUUGCGAAGGCG